CAAACGGGUGAGUAAUGCGUGACCAACCUGCCCCAUGCUCCAGAAUAGCUCUUGGAAACGGGUGGUAAUGCUGGAUGCUCCAACUUGACGCAUGUCUUGUUGGGAAAGUGUUUAGUGGCAUGGGAUGGGGUCGCGUCCUAUCAGCUUGUAGGCGGGGUAAUGGCCCACCUAGGCUUCGACGGGUAGCCGGCCUGAGAGGGCGGACGGCCACAUUGGGACUGAGAUACGGCCCAGACUCCUACGGGAGGCAGCAGCG
rnacentral:rRNA from 1 species